ensembl:snRNA U1 U1 spliceosomal RNA
AUACUUACCUGGCAGGGGAGAUACCAUGGUCACGAAGGUGGUUUUCCCAGGGUGAGGCUUAUCUAUUGCCCUCUGGAUGUGCUGACCCCUGCGAUUUCCCCAAAUGUGGGAAAGUCAACUGCAUAAUUUAUGUUAAUGGGGGACUGUGUUCGCGCUUUCCGCCG